GACGAACGCUGGCGGCGUGCUUAACACAUGCAAGUCGAACGAUGAAGCCGGAGCUUGCUCUGGUGAAUUAGUGGCGAACGGGUGAGUAACACGUGAGUAACCUGCCCUUGACUCUGGGAUAACUGCGGGAAACUGUAGCUAAUAUCGGAUACGACCCUCGGAGGCAUCUCCUGGGGGUGAAAAGAAUUUCGGUCAAGGCGGGACUCGCGGCCUAGUAGCUAGUUGGUGAGGUAAAGGCUAACCAAGGAGACGGCGGGUAGCCGGCCUGAGAGGGUGACCGGCCACACUGGGACUGGGACACGGCCCAGACUCCUACGGGAGGCAGCAGUGGGGAAUAUUGCACAAUGGGCGCAAGCCUGAUGCAACAACGCCGCGUGAGGGAUGACGGCCUUCGGGUUGUAAACCUCUUUUAGCAGGGAAGAAGCGAAAGUGACGGUACCUGCAGAAAAAGCACCGGCUAACUACGUGCCAGCAGCCGCUGUAA
rnacentral:rRNA from 1 species